rnacentral:rRNA from 1 species
AACGAACGCUGGCGGCGUGCCUAACACAUGCAAGUCGAACGAGAAAGUUCCUUCGGGAGCGAGUACAGUGGCGCACGGGUGAGUAACACGUAGGUGACCUUCCCUUUUGAGUGGGACAACUAGAAGAAAUUUUAGCUAAUACCACAUACGCACAACCAACAUGAAUGAGGUUGUGGAAAGAAUGCCUCUACUUGUAAGCAUUUACUGAAGGAUGGGCCUGCGGGACAUUAGCUAGUUGGUGGGGUAAAGGCCUACCAAGGCAACGAUGUCUAGCCGGAUUGAGAGAUUGAUCGGCCACACUGGAACUGAGACACGGUCCAGACUCCUACGGGAGGCAG